UGCUAGUCGCACGGGUUUAGACCCGUGGCGAAAAGCUCAGUAACACGUGGCCAAACUACCCUAUGGAUCGCGAUAACCUCGGGAAACUGAGGCUAAUCGCGAAUACAGCUCCUAUGCUGGAACAGCAGGGAGCUGGAAACGCUCCGGCGCCAUAGGAUGUGGCUGCGGCCGAUUAGGUAGACGGUGGGGUAACGGCCCACCGUGCCGAUAAUCGGUACGGGUUGUGAGAGCAAGAACCCGGAGACGGUAUCUGAGACAAGAUACCGGGCCCUACGGGGCGCAGCAGGCGCGAAACCUUUACACUGCACGACAGUGCGAUAGGGGGACUCCGAGUGCGAGGGCAUAUAGUCCUCGCUUUUCUGUACCGUAAGGUGGUACAGGAACAAGUGCUGGGCAAGACCGGUGCCAGCCGCCGCGGUAAUACCGGCAGCACGAGUGAUGGCCGCUAUUAUUGGGCCUAAAGCGUCCGUAGCCGGCCAGUCAAGUUCGUCGGGAAAUCUGCCCGCUUAACGGGCAGGCGUCCGGCGAAAACUGAUUGGCUUGGGGCCAGAAGACCUGAGGGGUACGUCCGGGGUAGGAGUGAAAUCCCGUAAUCCUGGACGGACCACCGGUGGCGAAAGCGCCUCAGGAAGAUGGACCCGACGGUGAGGGACGAAAGCUAGGGUCUCGAACCGGAUUAGAUACCCGGGUAGUCCUAGCCGUAAACGAUGCUCACUA
rnacentral:rRNA from 1 species